CCCUUAGAUGUUCUGGGCCGCACGCGCGCUACACUGAUGCAUUCAACGAGUCUAAAACCUGGUCUGAUAGGGCUGGGUAAUCUUUUGAAUGUGCAUCGUGAUUGGGAUAGAUGAUUGCAAUUCUUCAUCUUCAACGAGGAAUGCCUAGUAAACGCAAGUCAUCAGCUUGCAUUGAUUACGUCCCUGCCCUUUGUACACACCGCCCGUCGCUCCUACCGAUCGAAUGUUCCGAUGAAUACCAUGGACUGAGAGUAUGAAUGGGUUCGCCUAUUUCUGCUUCUCGGGAAGUGGAGUAAAUCUUAACAUUUAGAGGAAGGAGAAGUCGUAACA
rnacentral:rRNA from 1 species